UACGUAGGGUGCGAGCGUUGUCCGGAAUUAUUGGGCGUAAAGAGCUCGUAGGCGGUGUGUCACGUCGGCCGUGAAAACCUGCAGCUUAACUGUGGGCGUGCGGUCGAUACGGGCAUCACUGGAGUUCGGCAGGGGAGACUGGAAUUCCUGGUGUAGCGGUGAAAUGCGCAGAUAUCAGGAGGAACACCGGUGGCGAAGGCGGGUCUCUGGGCCGAUACUGACGCUGAGGAUCGAAAGCGUGGGGAGCGAACAGG
rnacentral:rRNA from 1 species